CACACGCGGAUGUUGAUGGUUCUAUCUUUGAUAACGCGUUGGCUUCAUUCUUUUUGAAGAUCAAGGACUAUUUUUUGCUGAUCCAUCGGGUGCCAGGUGAGGCGUGGUCUGUCCUAUAUAAGCCCCUUCAAUCAUUAGAAGGGUAUCACUUGUCCCAAGCCGAGCAAGACAACCAAUCAAAAUGUUCUUCAGAGUAUUCGCCCUCCUGGCUCUGGUGGCCGUCGCCUUCGCCAGCCCCAAGCCCGACCCUCAGGUGCUAGCGUACUCCGCUGGCGCCCCCAUCCUGCCUGUCGGCUACUCUCCCUACUCGAGCGUCUACUCUCCCUACGUGGCCGCCCCCGCCGCCGCCGCCUACCCCUACGCUUACUCUGGUUACUACCUCCGUUGAGACACCCUGUAUAACGACCAGCCAUGCGGUAACCUGACCAUGUGGGAACCCGAUACCUUAACGACGACCACUUGCCAAAUGAUUUUUUGUUCAAUAUAGUUUUUCAUGCAUA